GUGGGUAGUUUGACUGGGGCGGUCUCCUCCUAAAGAGUAACGGAGGAGCACGAAGGUUGGCUAAUCCUGGUCGGACAUCAGGAGGUUAGUGCAAUGGCAUAAGCCAGCUUGACUGCGAGCGUGACGGCGCGAGCAGGUGCGAAAGCAGGUCAUAGUGAUCCGGUGGUUCUGAAUGGAAGGGCCAUCGCUCAACGGAUAAAAGGUACUCCGGGGAUAACAGGCUGAUACCGCCCAAGAGUUCAUAUCGACGGCGGUGUUUGGCACCUCGAUGUCGGCUCAUCACAUCCUGGGGCUGAAGUAGGUCCCAAGGGUAUGGCUGUUCGCCAUUUAAAGUGGUACGCGAGCUGGGUUUAGAACGUCGUGAGACAGUUCGGUCCCUAUCUGCCGUGGGCGCUGGAGAACUGAGGGGGGCUGCUCCUAGUACGAGAGGACCGGAGUGGACGCAUCACUGGUGUUCGGGUUGUCAUGCCAAUGGCACUGCCCGGUAGCUAAAUGCGGAAGAGAUAAGUGCUGAAAGCAUCUAAGCACGAAACUUGCCCCGAGAUGAGUUCUCCCUGAGACUUAGAGUCUCCUGAAGGAACGUUGAAGACGACGACGUUGAUAGGCCGGGUGUGUAAGCGCAGCGAUGCGUUGAGCUAACCGGU
rnacentral:rRNA from 1 species